GUUGAAUUCAAACAAAUAGUUCAUUUUGAAUGCAAUUCUUGGAUAUAUUCCAAUCAUUUAAUGCAAAAGGAAAGGAUUUUCUUCUCAAAUACUGUGAGUAAACCAUUUCUCGUAACAUGUAGUAGCUUUCAGCAACAGAUAUGUAGCUAGUGUCUUUGAUCAUCUUAUGAGUUUUAGUGUUAUCUUCCAAGCCAAACACCAAAUGGUCUGCUGCAACUGAGGAAACAAGAACUUGAUACAUUGAGAGGAGAUGGAAUUGAAGGGAGAAUUAGAGAAUGGCAUCGGGCUUAUGGCUAUGAUUUCUAUAAUGAUCUCGGUGAUCCUCAGAGAGGGGAAGGACCUAUUUUAGGAGGUUCAAUUCACUAUCCAUAUCCAAGGAGAGGAAAAACUGGUGAACCACAUAUUGACUCAGGCAAGAAAUUUUCUCCCUUCUAAUAUA
rnacentral:misc_RNA from 1 species